AUAAGUUUGAUCUGUUUGUUUGUCAUUUUUGUAGUGAAACCAUUUUAAAAUAGAGACACAUAUUUUGCAGCUUCAGUGGUUGUAUGUUGUCCAAUUUUAGUGUUAAACAGGUUUUUUUUCUUGCAUUUCUUUAUAUCGGCUUAAAUUUGUUGCAGUAAAACAACAGGUUUUAUUUUAGAAAACUUUCAAUUUUGUGUUAUUUGAAACAAUAAUUUGACCUGUUCAAAACAAAGAAAAUGUGUAGUGAAAGAUUUGUCAUAGUUUUUCAUUUAUGGUUAUGUGGUAGAAAAUUCACAAAACAAGGUAUUCUAAACAAUGUUAAGAACACAUAUUUUAUUAUUAUUAUUUAUUUCUUAGCAGACGCCCUUAUCCAGGGCAACUUACAAUUGUUACAAGAUAUCACAUUAUUUUUACAUCCAAUUACAUUAUUUUUACAUGCAAUUGCCCAUUAUACAGUUGGGUUUUUACUGGAGCAAUCUAGGUAAAGUACCUUGCUCAAGAGUACAGCAACAGUGUCCCCAACCGGGGAUUGAACCCACGACCCUACAGUCAAGAGUCCAGAGCCCUAACCACUACUCCACACUGCUGCCCUAGCCACACAAGUGUUUAAAUAAACACUCCCUUUAGUUAAAAUGCCUGGCCAGGUAACUUCUUAAUUAUUGUAUCUAUUUAAUUAAGGAUUCCCCUUUAAGAAGGCUGAACUCCCAUGAGCCUUUGUUCUUUUUUAAACAGGUAGAGGGUGGAAGGGAGGCAGGUUUUGUGUUCUGGGUUCCUCCAUUUUGUGUAUGGUGGUGUGGUUUGUGUGCAGGUUCUGAAUGGGUUCCAGUUGGCUUUCAGGAUUUUAUUUACAAGAAAAUUAUAUUAAAUAAGAACUAUACCUACCUUGGAGCAUCUCUUGGACAACUUGUUGCUGUUGGACUGCCACUGGAACUACAGAAUAAGCAUCAACAAACAAACAAACAAACAGUCGGGUCUGUGAGGAUGAGAAGGUCUCCACAGUCUGGAGUCUGGUCUCUGACAGGCUCAACAUACCUGUCAAUCAACAGGGACUCCUCUACAAAGGCAAGGCGCUGGCAGGUAGGCUGAACAGCACAGCACAGCACAGCUCACCCCUCCUCUCACCCCUCACCUCAUCCCUCCUCUCACUCCUCGCCUCACCCCGGGUCAGUGUGGCACAGCCUGCCUGCUCUUCUGAACAAACACUUCAGCCCUGCCGACGCAGUGAGAGUCUGGAGCAGCAACACAAGGUCUGUGAGGAUGAGAAGGUCUCCACAGUCUGGAGUCUGGUCUCUGACAGGCUCAACAUACCUGUCAAUCAACAGGGACUCCUCUACAAAGGCAAGGCGCUGGCAGGUAGGCUGAACAGCACAGCACAGCACAGAACAGCUCACCCCUCCUCUCACGCCUCGCCUCACCCCGGGUCAGUGUGGCACAGCCUGCCUGCUCUUCUGAACAAACACUUCAGCCCUGCCGACGCAGUGAGAGUCUGGAGCAGCAACACAAGGUGAUGAAGUGACACAUUGAAUAUGGGGCCUGAUGAGAGAAGUAUCCUUUUCAUGUGGUUUUGGUUUUGCCGUUGUGAGCAGGUAUGGGAGACAGCACCGUGUCUGCAUGUGAAAUAACAAAGUCAUCGCAGUGGAGGGACUCUCUGAAGGCUGCUGUUUGUGGAUUUGUCUUGUAAUAUUCCUGGAGUGUGUGGCUGUGUGCCUGAGUGACAUCCAGAACUUAAGAGAAGUCGUUUCAAUUCUGGUUCUUUCUUGAGGAGAGGUGCCUUGUAGUGGUGAGUGUCAGGGUCAGUGUGGCUCGCUCCUGUGACUCUGAGCCCUGGAGCCGCUUUUAAGGGACAGUGUCCUGCAGAGUCUGCCUGUCUGCCCUUGACAUUGUGUGAGGGCGUUUGUACCUGAGAAUCAGGACUAGCUUCUCGUGACGAAUGGGAUGCUGGCUGGAGCAUUUCUUUAUGUAGUUCAGCAUGUUAGUUCACAUGUAGCUGACAGUGUGGACGUGCUCAUCUUGCAUUGCGAGUGUCAGCUGGUUAAUUCAUGACUACAGUAACCUGCAGGUCACAGCUUGCACAGGUUCAUCAACAUUGUCAGUUCCUCAUGUAUCCAGUGUGCGCAGUGCUGUAGCAGACAGUGAGGAGUAGUGGAGCAACAAUCAAUCCAUUUAUCCAUCCUCUGCCCUUAAAUUUCCCGAGCUGCGAUUACAUAUUGUUGAAUCGAUGCAUGAGAUGAGAGCCCAGUUUGGAGUCUGCUGUUGCCGUUGUCCCAGGAAAUAUGUUGAUCAAGCUCUAGAAUUUAAAGGGGAGGUUCCAUUGUUUCUAAUGUAACCGAGCCUAGGCUAGGAAAUAAGUAGAUCGAGCCAGGAAAUAAGUUGAUCGGAUAUGUUAAUGAAAAAUAAAUAAUUUAAAAUUCAUUUUGUAGGUAUAAUUUAUAUCAAUUAGUAGAUCGGAUUUAUUCAUCAGUAUGCUGCUUGAUAAGAUGAUGUGAAUAUCGCUUUAGAUCCGAUAUAUUAGCCUAACAAAAAUGCAUAAUUUAAAAUGACUUUUGUACGUAUAAUUUACAUUAACAUGUAGAUCGGAUACAUUCGACAGCAUUACGCUAGAUAAGGGAAUGUGAAUAUCGCUGUAAUAUAUAUUAGCAGCAAAUAAAUCAUUUAAAAUGAAUUGUACGAUUGUACAUUUCUGAUUGUGUAUUUCUGUUUGUGUAACAAACGUUAACUAGCAAAACGUGUUGCGUAUUGACGUUAUUUUGCAUUUCUGGAGGUGUUUUUGUUUUGGGAAGCACUACAGUUUGGACAGCAGGUAUGCGAGCGAUUGUCCAAAAGUUAAAGCAUGAGUUUCAAUCAUGGAAAACAUUAAGCUCCAUGCUGCGAUCACUAACUAGGCCACGGAGCACAUCAAUCACAGGAUGUACUUGAAAAACGUUGCUAAUACAGUAUUAUUAUUUGAUAUUUGUUCUUUCAUUUAUUUUACAUACAGUAUUUUGUAUAAUAAAGGACAGAAAAUGAACAGGAAACUGGUUAUCAUAGUGCAUGUGUUUCAAUUACAAGUUUGGGAAGAAACAAUACAUUCAUUAAUUAAAAUCUAAAGAGUUAACGUCUUUGCUAAACCGUGGUAAAUACCUGUAGUUCAAUACCAACCAUGAUUUUGUGUUGUGAGAGAGAUCAUACAGUAUAUAAGAACAUAAGAACAUAAGAAAGUUUACAAACGAGAGGAGGCCAUUCAGCCCAUCUUGCUCGUUUGGUUGUUAGUAGCUUAUUGAUCCCAGAAUCUCAUCAAGCAGCUUCUUGAAGGAUCCCAGGGUGUCAGCUUCAACAACAUUACUGGGGAGUUGGUUCCAGACCCUCACAAUUCUCUGUGUAAAAAAGUGCCUCCUAUUUUCUGUUCUGAAUGCCCCUUUAUCUAAUCUCCAUUUAUGACCCC